rnacentral:rRNA from 1 species
CGAAUAGUCUUUUAUCACUAAUUGGUGGUAAACCGUGAAAAGUUAACUCUGAGCGCCCGUUAAAAAAGGGGGGCCAUCAGUUUAAAAAACUGGGGAAGAAAGGGAAGGGCAAGACCGGUGCCAGCCGCCGCGGUAAUACCGGCGGCUCGAGGGGGGGCCACUUUACCUGGGCUUAAAGGGUUCGUAGCUGGUUUGUUAAGUCCCUGGGGAAAUCUCCCGGCUUACCCGGAAGGGGUCUCAGGGAUACUGGCAGACUAGGGACCGGAAGAGGGGAGAGGAACUCCAGGGGAAGGAGGGAAAUCCUGUAAUCCUGGGGGAACCACCUGUGGCGAAGGGGUCUCACCAGGACGGUUCCAACAGUGAGGGACAAAAGCUGUGUAAGCAACCGGGAUUAGACCCCGGGUAGUCCCGGCGUUAAACGAGGUGCGUUAGGUGUAUGGGGGACACCAAGCACCAAGGGGCCAAAAAGAAAUCGGGAACGACCCCCCCUGGGAGAACGGUCCCAAGGUUGAACCUAAAAGGAAUUGGGGGGGAAAGGCCAAAUUCUUAAAACCUGCGGGAUAAGUCCCUUUUGUGGGGGUUAAUUUGAGGCUUGGGGUAUUCAUGGCCAAAGCGUUUUCCGGA